CUUCAUCCACUUGCUGGGGACAAAUCAGAUGGAUAUGCGAGUCGAAGCCACCCGCCGUGACGAUCUUAUUUUCUCCCGCAAUCACAUCCGUGGACGAGCCCACCACUAGGUCCGGGUGCACUCCAUCCAUAACAUCAGGGUUACCUGCCUUACCAAUGCCAGCAAUCAUUCCAUUCUUGAUACCAAUAUCGGCCUUGUAGAUACCAGUGUAGUCGAUAAUCAGAGCGUUGGUAACCACCGUAUCCACGCACUCAGCCGCUGAGCGCCCCGAUGCUUGUCCCAUUCCUUCACGCAG
rnacentral:sRNA from 1 species